rnacentral:lncRNA from 1 species
GCUAUCUGACGCUGGCUCUCUUUUGGUGAAGGGAUCCCAGAGAAUUUACUGUUAGAGGAGUAAACUUAGGUUGAUAGAGUUCUUAUAUAAAGUGUGGCAAUGGACUAUUUUAACAAGAGACAGUUUCAUAGAUAGGUUUCAUUUUUCAAAAAAGGGGAAGAAACACCAUUCUGUGGCUCAGUGUGGGUUUGUCAGUUAUUGCCUCCCCCCCUUCCUGGGACUUCCCACUGUUCUUGAGCACAAAUCAGACUCAAGCAAACACAACUCUUUCCAUGGGAUCAGUUAUAAGAAGAAUGGCCAGGCAAUGAACAGCUGAGUUUCUCGGUCUUACCAGCGUAAGGCUUGCUGACAUUUCUGAAGAAAGCCCUGGCUGGCUCAUUCGUCUCUAUAUGGUCGAUCACUGUUUCUUCAGGACCAAAGGAGCAGAGUGUUCAGCGAAGAGCUUCUCCUCUGACCCCUGGUUCCCAGGGCCCUUGAACAUGCAGGACUCACAUUUCUUCCCCCACCUACCUGUGCUGCCUACAGGCUGGCUGAAAAUCCCAAUUCAAGCUAAAGUAUUCAUGGACGGAUGGAUUGUUUCUCUAAAGAGAUUUGACACCUUUAAGGGACUCCUGGGCAAGAAAAUGCCCUCGACCAAAGGAGCAGAACCUCUCAUUCCAGAUACGAAGAUACUGUGGUGGACUAAAGCAAGAAGAAUUUCACAUAUAUCUCGGAUCACAUCACAGAGGCUCUAUGACCAAGAGAGCUGCACACUUUCACAGAGGCUGUGGGAGAUUCAGUGUGAUGCGAAAGACGAGAGGAUCCAUCAGACAUUCCUGAGAGUUCAUGUUACGGGUUUUCAAACUGUGUUCCUCCGUACAUAGGGAACCUGCAGAAGAACUUCAGAGGUCUCUGGAGUGGAAUGAGACGGAGACCCAGAGAACAAGUCGGUGUGUCUCUUGCCUGGUGCCCUGAUGUGAACUAAUCAUAGUGGACUAGUAAUAAUAACAUUAAUAUUAUUUGACCACUAAUGGGGUAAUAGGACAGUACCACUAUUAUAUUCUAAUACAUUCAGUUUUAAAUUAAGGUCAUUUAAAGAGAAAAAGAGAUUUACUUCCCCAAAUUUGGUCAACAAUGGCUAUUUCAGCACACAUGCCCUGCACCCAGAAUCCCAGGUGAAACUUAUUCAGCUGUCAUUACCUCAGGGGGAAGGGUGGUAACCUACUGGACAGUUCUGCCCUGAAAUGCAGAUGGCAGGGUUUAAGGAGACAGAAUAUUUUGUUAUGGAAGCAGGAGAAAUGGAAUAAGACUGAGGCAUGAAAGUGGACAUGGCUGGAGGUUAGAUUAAGGAGUGAUGAAGACAGAUUGGCUUGCUUCAUGGCUUUGCCUCUGAUGGGCCCUGCCAAUGACACUAGGCCUCGGGCUUUCAGAACUGAAAGAUGUAUCACCCAUGUCUUAUUAACUGAUCACAUUUGUUACCCUUUCAACACCCCUAAAUCUAUUAGAAUGAUAGCUCAUUCCUGAACUCACAACAAACACCUACAUGUCCCAUAAUGUAUGAAAGAGGAAACCACUAUGGCAGCCCACUGACAGAGUGACUGGGAUAUUCUUUCCUGUAUCCACACUCUUCUGCCCUGUAACUUUGCAUGUCCUUUCAGUGCAAGAGGAAUAUAUUUCCAUGCCUCUGAACUCUGAGCUCAGUCAUAUGAUUUGCUUUGGUCAGUGGCAUGUGGGUGGAAACAACACUGGACUGGUGUCAAGGUGAAGCCAGAUGAGGCCUUUUGUGUUCUGCUUACCCUCAGCACUUUUGUCAUCACCAUGAGAAGACCAUGGUCCAGCCAGUCUGUUCACUGAUCCACGGAGGUCGAGGGAUGUGUGGAGCAGAGAUGGAUUUGAUAUGCUGCUUGGAGCCAUCUUGUUAGGCCCAACCAAGAUCAGCUUAAGACACCUAACCUGAUGGGCAGAUUUGUGAAAAUAAAUGUUUAGAGUUGUAAACCACAGAGGUUCUGUGACUGCUUAUUACAAGGCAAUUGCUGCCUGAUAUCAUAGGUAAGAGCUUGAUUUUUCUGUCAGAUCAGAAUUGGACAAAGUCCCUAAAGAUUCGGCAUGCUCAUCUGUAAAAAUGUAUAUAAUUAUCACUAUACCAGUCUUAUAGGCACUAACAAAACUAGUACAUGCAAGAUACUAGGCAGAAUGCCUC